rnacentral:rRNA from 1 species
AGUGAACGCUGGCGGUAGGCCUAACACAUGCAAGUCGAACGGCAGCACAGUAAGAGCUUGCUCUUACGGGUGGCGAGUGGCGGACGGGUGAGGAAUACAUCGGAAUCUACUUUUUCGUGGGGGAUAACGUAGGGAAACUUACGCUAAUACCGCAUACGACCUACGGGUGAAAGCAGGGGAUCUUCGGACCUUGCGCGAUUGAAUGAGCCGAUGUCGGAUUAGCUAGUUGGCGGUGUAAAGGCCCACCAAGGCGACGAUCCGUAGCUGGUCUGAGAGGAUGAUCAGCCACACUGGAACUGAGACACGGUCCAGACUCCUACGGGAGGCAGCAGUGGGGAAUAUUGGACAGUGGGCGCAAGCCUGAUCCAGCCAUACCGCGUGGGUGAAGAAGGCCUUCGGGUUGUAAAGCCCUUUUGUUGGGAAAGAAAAGCAGCAGGUUAAUACCCCGCUGUUCUGACGGUACCCAAAGAAUAAGCACCGGCUAACUUCGUG